AUUGAACGCUGGCGGCAGGCUUAACACAUGCAAGUCGAGCGCGCGGCGGACGGGUGAGUAAUGCAUGGGGAUCUGCCCGAUAGUGGGGGAUCACUACUGGCAACGGUGGCUAAUACCGCAUACAAUCGUAUGACCCCAUAUGGGAUUAGCUCGUAGGUGGGGUAAAGGCUCAACUAGGCGACCAUCUCUAGCUGGUCUGCGAGGAUAACCAACCAAACUGGGGAUGAGUCACGGACCAGACGCCUACGGGCGGCAGGAGUGGGGUAUAUUACGCAAUGGGAGGAAGCCUGACGCAGCCAUUCCGCGUGUAUGAGGAGGGCCUUAGGGUUGUAAAGUACUUGCAGCGGGGAGGCGUUAGCCGCAGAAGAAGCACCGGCUAACUCCGUGCCAGAAGCCGCGGUAAUAG
rnacentral:rRNA from 1 species